rnacentral:tmRNA from 1 species
GGGGACGUUACGGAUUCGACAGGGGUAGGUCGAGCUCAGGUUGCGUGCCGAGGUUACGACUCGUAAAACGUUAACGCCAAUAAUAACUGGCAAAGAAAACAAUUACUCUUUAGCAGCUGCGUAAGUAGCACUAAAGGAUCCUUCCUACCAUCGCCCAUGUGGUAGAUAGAAGGGUCUCAAAUGAAGUGGGCUACGCUAUCGUCCUCCGCCUGAGGAUGGAUAGAAGAGAUUAAUCAGGCUAGCUGCUAGGAAGCCAGUUGGUAGGCUGAAUAGUAAGCGAAUGAUAAUAUAUCAACUAUGCAUGUAGACGCCUGAGUGCCGAUACCUCUGGACGUGGGUUCGAUUCCCACCGUCUCCACCA